CGGGGUGGAGUAAUGUCUGGGAAACGUGCCUGAUGGAGGGGGAUAACUGCUGGAAACGGUAGCUAAUACCGCAUAACGUCGCAAGACCAAAGAGGGGGACCUUCGGGCCUCUUGCCAUCGGAUGUGCCCAGAUGGGAUUAGCUAGUAGGUGGGGUAACGGCUCACCUAGGCGACGAUCCCUAGCUGGUCUGAGAGAAUGACCAGCCACACUGGAACUGAGACACGGUCCAG
rnacentral:rRNA from 1 species